CGAAGGUGGCAAGCGUUGUUCGGAUUUACUGGGCGUACAGGGAGCGUAGGUGGUUAGGUAAGCCCUCCGGGAAAUCUUCGGGCUUAACCCGGAAAGGUCGGAGGGGACUGCCUGGCUAGAGGACGGAAGAGGAGCGCGGAAUUCCCGGUGUAGCGGUGAAAUGCGUAGAGAUCGGGAGGAAGGCCGGUGGCGAAGGCGGCGCUCUGGGACGUUCCUGACACUGAGGCUCGAAAGCGUGGGGAGCAAACAGGAUUAGAUACCCUGGUAGUCCACGCCCUAAACGAUGGACACUAAGUGUCGGCGGGUUACCGCCGGUGCCGCAGCUAACGCAGUAAGUGUCCCGCCUGGGGAGUACGGCCGCAAGGUUG
rnacentral:rRNA from 1 species